ACUUAACAACAAGGAAGUAGAUAAUUGUUGUAAAUAUUUUUGGGAUUAAAAUCUUUAUAGUAAGGAAAAAUAAAAAUAGUUGAAAUUUUAAAGACUUGUGCUAUUCUCUGGGCUUGUUGAUGUUCAAAUUACACACAGAAAAUUAUAAAAAAUAUAGUAUUACUGAAAACAGAAGUAGGACAGGUCUUGUUAUCUAAAACAAAAUGGCAACUGGGGGGAGUAUAAAUAAAGAUAUAUUAUCUGAUGAAACUUUUGAUCUACUAUGUGGAGUAUGUAAACAUAAAGGGAAAAAUCGAGAAGCAGAAAAAUACUGUGUAGAAUGUCAAGAUUAUUACUGUUUGACCUGUGUCAAAGUCCAUGAGGACAUCCCUUCACUAAUCGGGCACAAGAUUCUUGGCAAAGGGAAGUUUCCAUCAGGAUCAGUCAAGACCCCACCAGGAUCUACUAAGACUCUACCAGGGGCACCAAUAGAGAGAUGUGACCGGCAUAGUCAUCACUGUAUAGAUAUGUACUGUCAAAACGAUGAUGCUGUUGGCUGUGGCACUUGUAUGGCAGUUGAUCACAGGUUAUGCAAGGACAUUUUCUACAUACCAGACUUUCUGAAAAACAACACCAGUACCACUUCUACAAGGGAUAUCCAGCAGAAACUAAAAUCAGUUACGAAGACCCUGACAGACCAUCAUGAAAAGUUUCAAAGUGAAAAACAAAGAUUACUGAAAUCAAGAGCCAAAACACUGGACAAUGUGAAGAAGUUUAGAAAGGAAAUUAAUGACAGGCUAGAUGAGCUAGAGAAAAACACUGUUGAUGAUAUAGAAGAUAAGUACAAAACUUUGUUACACAAGUUGGAAGAAGGAAUGAAACAACUGGAGAAAAACAAAGGUAAUGUUUCCUCAACUCUUGACAAGUUGGUUCCAGCUAGCAAAAAUGCAAUACAAAACUUUGUAAAUGUCAAGAAAGCAAGUAAAGCUGCUAAAUUUGUACAAGAAACCAAAUUACAAACACCACUGAAAGAUGCUGACUUCACUUCUGAUGACAGAAUAUCUUCUUUAUUAGGAGAAAUAAAGGUCUUGGGCAAGACAACAGAAAGAAUGUCAGUGGAUGCUGAAUGCAAACCCACUGUUGCUGUUAGUAAGGAAGAAGCUUUACUUCAGGUUAAAAGGAUUCAAGGAAUACUCUGUAAAAGUUCAAUUAGACAUGAGUAAAUGUAAUAUUGUCAGUGCCUGUACUCUAGAGGAUGGAACAAUAAUACUGUCUGAUCUAGACAACUACAAGCUGAAGCAUUUAGACAGUUGCACAUACUCUGUUAUAGACUACUGUGAUCUUCCUAACUGGCCGUGGCAAGUCUGCUCCACCCAAAAGCAGGAAGUUGCUGUAUGUUUGCCAGGAAAUAAAGAAGUUCACUUCAUUUCAACAGGAAACAGAAUGAUAGCAAAAAACAAGAUAAAAAUAUAUUUUGAAUGUUAUGGCCUAUCAUGCGCUGAUGGCAAUCUGUAUAUUUCAGAUAGUUAUACAUCAGUGUAUAUAUACAGUGUAUCUGGAAGAAAGCUGAAGCAGUUCAGUAAAGAUGAAUCAGGACAGGAACUGUUCUCUAACAUCGACAGUCUAUCUGUCAGUAAGGAUGGGUCAAAGAUUUUUGUCACUGACUGGAAGAAUAAACUGAUUAUACUGGACAAUAGUGGAGAAGUUGUUGAAAGAUUUAAUGGUCCAGAGUUAGAUGGUGCUGGAAGUAGUUAUCUCACAGGUAGAGGAAGUCUGCUUAUUUGUGGAAUAAUUUCCAAAAAUGUGCUCCAGUUUAGACUGGAUGGUAAACUGAUAGGUGAGGUUGUGAAAUUUUAUGAUAAAUCAAUCUAUCCUAAGGCCAUUUGUUGCAA
rnacentral:misc_RNA from 1 species